UACGAGGGGGGCAAGCGUUGUUCGGAAUUAUUGGGCGUAAAGGGUGCGUAGGCGGUUUUGUAAGUCUUGUGUGAAAUCUUCAGGCUCAACUUGAAGACUGCACGAGAAACUGCAGGGCUUGAGUGUGGGAGAGGUGAGUGGAAUUCCUGGUGUAGCGGUGAAAUGCGCAGAUAUCGGGAGGAACACCGAUGGCGAAGGCAGCACUCUGGGCCGGCACUGACGCUGAGACGCGAAAGCGUGGGGAGCAAACAGG
rnacentral:rRNA from 1 species